rnacentral:rRNA from 1 species
AUACGUAUGUCUCGAGCGUUAUCCGGAAUUACUGGGUGUAAAGGGUUUGUAGGUUGUUUGUUAAGUAGGGUAUGAAAGACCGGAGCUCAACUCCGUGUUUGUAUUCUAAACUGGCUAACUAGAGUUAGGGAGAGGUAAGCGGAAUUUUAAGUGUAGGGGUGCAAUCCGUAGAUACUUAGAAGAACACCAAAAGCGAAGGCAGCUUACUGGAACUAUACUGACGCUGAAAAACGAAGCGUGGGGAGCGAAAAGGAUUAGAUACCCUUGUAGUCCACGCCCUAAACGAUGAUAACUUAGUGUUGGGGGUAACCUCAGUGCUGAAGCUAACGCGUUAAGUUAUCCACCUGAGGAGUACGGUCGCAAGAUUAAAACUCAAAGGAAUAGACGGGGACCCACACAAGCAGUGGAUCACGUGGUUUAAUUCGACAAUAAACGGGGAACCUUACCAGACUUGACAUCUAUAGAAUCUUUUGGAAACAGAAGAGUGCCCGUAAGGGAGCUAUAAGACAGGUGCUGCAUGGUUGUCGUCAGCUCGUGUCGCAUA